rnacentral:rRNA from 1 species
AGGGAGGUAAGACCAACAGGGAUUGCCCUAGUAACGGCGAGUGAAGCGGCAACAGCUCAAAUUUGAAAUCUGGCCUCCGGGUCCGAGUUGUAAUUUGUAGAGGAUGCUUUUGGCGAGGUGCCUUCCGAGUUCCCUGGAACGGGACGCCAUAGAGGGUGAGAGCCCCGUCUGGUCGGACACCGAGCCUCUGUAAAGCUCCUUCGACGAGUCGAGUAGUUUGGGAAUGCUGCUCAAAAUGGGAGGUAUAUGUCUUCUAAAGCUAAAUAUUGGCCAGAGACCGAUAGCGCACAAGUAGAGUGAUCGAAAGAUGAAAAGCACUUUGAAAAGAGGGUUAAAAAGUACGUGAAAUUGUUGAAAGGGAAGCGCCUAUGACCAGACUUGGGCCCGGUGAAUCAUCCAGCGUUCUCGCUGGUGCACUUUGCCGGGCACAGGCCAGCAUCAGUUUGGCGCGGGGGAUAAAGGUUUUGGGAAUGUGGCUCCCUCGGGAGUGUUAUAGCCCAUUGCGUAAUACCCUGCGCCGGACUGAGGUACGCGCAUCGCAAGGAUGCUGGCGUAAUGGUCAUCAGCGACCCGUCUUGAAACACGGACCAAGGAGUCGUCUUCGUAUGCGAGUGUUCGGGUGUCAAACCCCUACGCGUAAUGAAAGUGAACGCAGGUGAGAGCUUCGGCGCAUCAUCGACCGAUCCUGAUGUUCUCGGAUGGAUUUGAGUAAGAGCAUACGGGGCCGGACCCGAAAGAAGGUGAACUAUGCCUGUAUAGGGUGAAGCCAGAGGAAACUCUGGUGGAGGCUCGCAGCGGUUCUGACGUGCGAAUCGAUCGUCAAAUAUGGGCAUGGGGGCGAAAGACUAAUCGAACCUUCUAGUAGCUGGUUUCCGCGAGUCUCCUCUCUCCUCAGAAAAA